ACAAUAUAGUAAGAAAUUCUUACAACCAUAUUCCAUAUGAACUCAUUUACUAUAUUAUUCUUGAAACCUUUAUUUACACAUCCAUCACUUGGUAUUUACAUCCCCUAUCACUAUUUUACACCUUCGUCUAACUUUUCACUCACUUUCUCCAGAUCGGACUCGUGCUUCAUCUUCCGUUACAGCGAAAACUCUUGUUGAAGAACGAGUCA
rnacentral:lncRNA from 1 species